CCUACGGGGGGCUGCAGUGGGGAAUAUUGCACAAUGGGGGAAACCCUGAUGCAGCGACGCCGCGUGAGUGAAGAAGUAUUUCGGUAUGUAAAGCUCUAUCAGCAGGGAAGAAAAUGACGGUACCUGACUAAGAAGCCCCGGCUAACUACGUGCCAGCAGCCGCGGUAAUACGGAGGGGGCAAGCGUUAUCCGGAUUUACUGGGUGUAAAGGGAGCGUAGACGGCAUGGCAAGUCUGGAGUGAAAUCCCUGGGCUUAACCAUGGAACUGCAUUGGAAACUGUGCAGCUAGAGUGCAGGAGAGGUAAGCGGAAUUCCUAGUGUAGCGGUGAAAUGCGUAGAGAUUAGGAGGAAAACCAGUGGCGAAGGCGGCUUACUGGACUGGAACUGACGUUGAGGCGCGAAAGCGUGGGGAGCAAACAGGAUUAGAUACCCCGGUAGUC
rnacentral:rRNA from 1 species